UACGAAGGGGGCUAGCGUUGCUCGGAAUCACUGGGCGUAAAGGGUGCGUAGGCGGGUUUUUAAGUCAGAGGUGAAAUCCUGGAGCUCAACUCCAGAACUGCCUUUGAUACUGGGAAUCUUGAGUAUGGAAGAGGUGAGUGGAACUGCGAGUGUAGAGGUGAAAAUUCGUAGAUAUUCGCAAGAACACCAGUGGCGAAGGCGGCUCACUGGUCCAUAACUGACGCUGAGGCACGAAAGCGUGGGGAGCAAACAGGGA
rnacentral:rRNA from 1 species